UACGGAGGGGGCUAGCGUUGUCCGAAGUUACUGGGCGUAAAGCGCGCGUAGGCGGGUUGGUAAGUCCGCUGUGAAAGCCCGGAGCUCAACUCCGGAGGGUCGGUGGAUACUGCCAGUCUUGAAGGUGCUAGGGGGAGAUGGAAUUACCGGUGUAGCGGUGAAAUGCGUAGAUAUCGGUAGGAACACCAAUAGCGAAGGCAGCUCGCUGGGACGGUACUGACGCUGAGGCGCGAAAGCGUGGGGAGCGAACAGG
rnacentral:rRNA from 1 species